rnacentral:rRNA from 1 species
UACGUAGGGUGCAAGCGUUAUCCGGAAUUAUUGGGCGUAAAGAGCUCGUAGGCGGUUUGUCGCGUCUGCUGUGAAAACCCGAGGCUCAACCUCGGGCCUGCAGUGGGUACGGGCAGACUAGAGUGCGGUAGGGGGAGAUUGGAAUUCCUGGUGUAGCGGUGGAAUGCGCAGAUAUCAGGAGGAACACCAGUGGCGAAGGCGGCUUCCUGGUCUGCGACUGACGCUGUGGCGCGAAAAGCUAGGGGAGCAAACGGG